rnacentral:rRNA from 1 species
UACGUAGGGCGCGAGCGUUGUCCGGAUUUAUUGGGCGUAAAGAGCUCGUAGGCGGCUUGUUGCGUCGUCCGUGAAAACCUGUGGCUUAACUACAGGCUUGCGGUCGAUACGGGCGGGCUGGAGUUCGGUAGGGGAGACUGGAAUUCCUGGUGUAGCGGUGAAAUGCGCAGAUAUCAGGAGGAACACCGGUGGCGAAGGCGGGUCUCUGGGCCGAUAUCGACGCUGAGGAGCGAAAGCGUGGGGAGCGAACAGG